rnacentral:sRNA from 1 species
CUUGGUCAUUUAGAGGAAGUAAAAGUCGUAACAAGGUUUCCGUAGGUGAACCUGCGGAAGGAUCAUUAAAAAUAUUAUUACACCCUUUUAGGCACAAACUCUGAAUCUUACCUUCAAUAAUUUUUUAAAAAAACUUUCAACAACGGAUCUCUUGGUUCUCGCAUCGAUGAAGAACGCAGCGAAUUGCGAUACGUAAUAUGACUUGCAGACGUGAAUCAUUGAAUCUUUGAACGCACAUUGCGCCCCGGGGUAUUCCCCAGGGCAUGCGUGGGUGAGCGAUAUUUACUCUCAAACCUCCGGUUUGGUCCUGCUUCGGCCUAAUAUCAACGGCGCUAGAAUAAGUUUUAGCCCCAGCCUUUUUCCUCACCCUCGUAAGACUACCCGCUGAACUUAAGCAUAUCAAUAAGCGGAGGAAAAGAAACCAACAGGGAUUGCCUCAGUAACGGCGAGUGAAGCGGCAAAAGCUCAAAUUUGAAAUCCCCCGGGAAUUGUAAUUUGAAGAGAUUUGGGUCCGGCCGGCAGGGGUUAAGUCCACUGGAAAGUGGCGCCACAGAGGGUGACAGCCCCGUGAACCCCUUUAACGCCCUCAUCCCAGAUCUCCAAGAGUCGAGUUGUUUGGGAAU